rnacentral:rRNA from 1 species
CCCUUAGAUGUCCUGGGCUGCACGCGCGCUACACUGAUGUGUCCAGUAAGCACCUAACCUAUUCCGAGAGGAGCGGGUAACCCUAGCAAAGCACAUCGUGAUGGGGAUAGAUUAUUGCAAUUAUUAGUCUUGAACGAGGAAUUCCUAGUAAGCACAAGUCAUCAGCUUGUGUUGAUUACGUCCCUGCCCUUUGUACACACCGCCCGUCGUUCCUACCGAUUGAAUGUUCCGGUGAGCUCUUCGGACUGCGCGGUCUGCAGUUUCUGCGUUCCGUGCGGAAAGUUGUGCAAACCUUAACAUUUAGAGGAAGGAGAAGUCGUAACA